ACGCUAUUCGAAAACUGUAGUCCUCUCACGAUCAAACCAGUUCUCCGAGUUGAGGUGAUCACCGGCUGCCUCAGAUUAAUCCCUUCCCCCUUGUCAUUCCCAGCCCCUCAUCCACCAUUCUGGGAACUGAUGACAUGCCUACGGCCAGACGAUGCCACUCCACCUUUUUCCUCAUGUGCUUUCCACCUCCUUUGCCUGCCAGAUCCUUACGUACAUUCGCGUAGAUUAACUUUUGAUACGAGACCUCCUCAGUCUACGUUGGAACCUCGAUUCGUACGCGCGAGCUGGGACACGUUGUACGCUUUCGGGUAUCAAAUUUCUAUUAGUGACAGCGAAUUACUUUAGUCUACAGCGUAAGUUUUGGAGCGAGACAGGGUACUCGCGCAGCUGUAAAGUCGACGAACAAGUAGCCAGCCAGAGAACAAAAGAUCGGCCCAGCACUGGUGCGCCAACAGGGGGGAAAAUAAACGAGCAAACGAUCCAGAGAAGUGCACAACGGUAUAGCUUGUUAAUUAUUAAUUAAGGAUGCGUUUGCUGCUAGCGAUCGUAGUUCUAAGUUUCUGGAUUUCGUGCGUUCGUGCCUAUCCUGCGAACGGUAUGAUCAAGAAUAAUCUGAAUCGGGACUCCAUCUACUUUCCCGACCAAGCAGAAUACCUACGGCAUUCCAUGAAAUGUUCUCAGAACGAGAUUUCGUGGCCAUUUUAUGGAUAUAUUCGUCGGUGUUACAGAGAAGGCGAACAAGGUCCCUGCAAUAUCGGCAGAAUUUUGGUCUUUGAUAAGAAAUACAUGAAACCUGUUUGCAAAGAGAUGACGUUACAAUAAACAACCGAGGGUUGCAGAUACUGCUCUUACCGAUUCGACGGAAUUCUGGCAAAGAUGUCAGCAGGAAUACAGUAGUUGCGCUCCAUAUACUUGGAAUAUUAGUUCGAGUUUAUAAUUCUGUUUUUUUUAGUAUAGAGUAAUAACUCAUAAUAAUAACUCAUUUUAUAUAUUCAUAUUUCGUAUUUGUAUUUAUAUUAUAUAUUGUAUAUUUAUAAUAUAUAUUAUAUAUAUAUAUAUACAAUAUAAUAAACAUAAUGGUUUAACUUCAUUCAAUUUUAACUCUUAUUUCAUUUAUAAAGAGAGAGUAACUUUGUGAUAUGAUUGACUGCAUAGUAUACUGGACUAAUUUGAUAUGAUACGUCAAUAUGGAAUGUUUGGCAAUAUGUAAAAUUCAACAUAUUUGUAGAAUUACAAAUUAUUUCAGAAAUUCCAAUAUCGAUUGAUUUGUCAUAUAACUCCAGCAAUUUUUGCGUUGUUGGAUAUAUUCAUGUACGUGUAACUUACUCUUUCAUUUGUUCAUAUGUAUACUUAAUAUUUUCCAUAGUUCUAUAGUAGUAUCUCUUUUAUACUGUAUAUAAAUUUUAUAAAUCGUUGAAAAAUAGAAUUUGUUGUGAAUUAAAUUCUCUACCAAUUUCGUUUUAAAAUUAAUAACGAUUAAGAGUGAAAUAAAAAAUAUGCCCAACAAUUAAAAUAAUUUGAUUAAUACUACAACAAAGGAACUUCUAUGUUAUUCCCCUGUUGUAUCGAAAUAUUUGUAUUUUUUGUUUUUAUUAUAAAGCUACACUCAUGGUAAAAGGAAUUAAGAAAAUGUACAAAAAUGAAGAAAUACAAAAAAAAAAAAACAACGAAAUUAAACAGUUGGAUAAAAUAUUAAUUGGUUAUUUGGUUUUUGCGAAAAAAAUUAAAUGAUACAGAGAUAUAUUUGAUAACAAACGACAACAGCAUAUUUUUUAUCUUUUUAUAAUCAAUUUUCAUUCAAUCCAUCAAAGUACAUCGAAUACACGUUCGACCUGGAUACACGCAUAGAGAACCCAAAAAACCUUUAAUGAGAAAAACUUGGAUUCGAUACCUACCUCCCCUUCCUCUGUUUAGCCUUUUGUAAAAUUAUAUUCAAAUUAUCAGAUGUUUGUAUCUUAUCAACCUUAUUUGAAAACGAUAGGUGCAAAUUUCAUACAAAAAAUCAAAAUUUAUUUGUUUGCACAAAAAAAGAUUCGGCUUCUUAUUUUUAUAAAACUAAUAAUUAACAAAUAUAGUAAUGUGUAGUGUUUUGGAAGAUGCUCUAUCACAGUGUGAUAUAAAUUGUACAAUUCAUAUAAUUGGAGUUAUUAUAAUUUCAUAGUUAUGUGUGGAAAAAUAUUUACAAGUUUUAGUAAUUUUUAAUGUAUAUUCGAACAAAUCUAUAUAUUUACCGAUAUUUUCACUAUUUCAAUCAUUUUUGCUACACUGGAAAGCUGCCAUUUACCGUUAACGUAUCCGUAUGCAGAAAAUUAUUACGGAAUAUCUCUCAUUAGUAUCCAUCUUUUUCAAUGAAUGCAUAUUAAAAAAUUCUAUAUUGUUACAUUCUCGUCAUUUAUCAUGAGAUAAUCAACCGUAGAUAAUCAUAAUACGUUCUGAAAUAUGCUCGAGUUGAUUUAAAUACAUCAAAAUGUUGCAAAUUAACUUAUAAAUGUAAUUUUCUUUUUUGAAAUGUAUUGUUUUAAUAUAACAUUAAAAAUAAUGAAAUAUAAAAUAUAAAUUAUUUGAACCAAUUAAAUGUUUUCAGAAUUUGUCAAAUGAAUCAUAUAGAUCAUAUAUAUUAAACCAGAUAUUUUGUGCAAGAGUUAAUUGGCUAUAUUUAAUACUAUACUUAAAUUAUCACUAUCAGCGUGCACUUAAAUUAUUGCCCGAUACAAACUUACAUCUUAUUUCAAAUACACGUUGUUUACAAUUAAUAUGUUGAUUAACUACUUCCUAACUAUCUUUUCUUUACUGGAAAAACUAAUUUUUUAAUAUUUUCAAUACCUCUGUAUACGUAUGCAAAUAAAUAUUUUUUUUCAGUUGGUA